UCUCUCUCUAAGCUACCGAUCUCAAAUGAAGAACUUUUGACAUUGCCGAGUGCUACGACUUAACAUGGAGUUCAGAGGCGGGUUUGCACAACAAACAGAUGUUCUUUGAUGUCAGCUGCAGUGAGGGGGUGGCAAAAAAAUGGGAACGCUAAAAAGAAGUAGGUGGAAGGUGUCAGAACUCUAAUCACCAUGCAGCGUUUGGAAAAAAAAUCGAUUAUAUUUCUUAGCACAAACACAGGCUUUGAGUCACAGUUACAACGCCGGCUCGCUGAUCCAGAGACGAUGGAUGGAAGCUAAAUUACACAGGCUGUCAACCAAACCAAUGUACAACUCCAUUCGGGUGCAUUAUAAAUCAUGUCAAAGAGCCUAACAGCAAGAAAAUGGACGUGCCAUUUGCUGUCACUUCAGACAAUUUGUAUUAUGACAUUUCACGAACGCUUGGCCAAUUACCCCGAAUAGAUCUAUUGCAUAAACUAAAUGAUAGUUUCCCUAGUUUCUCCACUUCAGCUAUGUGAUUUAGUUAUUCAUUAAACCACCCACAUCACAAGUGCAAAAUACAACUCAGGAUAUGUACUCCAUGAACAGCUCAUUUAGGUUAGUAUGUGUCAGCACUGUGUAUACGUUAUGGACCCACACGCCUUCAAAACCAGUAGUAUUUACCAAAACAACAGCGUUUACACAACAUGCCACAAUGUAUUUCCACUGCAGUCAGCCUAGUAGAUAUGGUAUUGUGGUGUAAAAGAAAACUGCUAUCAUAUUACAACAAACCUUUUACACUACCACGCCAUAUUAUGAAAAAUGCAUUAUCAUGCCUUUGAUUUCAGUCUAAAAUCAUAAAAGGUAUCAAUUUGUUUGGAUAAAAGAUGCAUGCUGUGUAAUAUCUCUCAUUUCCAAUAGUAAAGGAUGUCUCAGCGAUACAAAUUGCAGUCUUGGCAACACUUUAAUCAGACCUCCAUUAGCUGACUGACAAUUCAACUGGUCAACUGCCCUUGUGUUAGAGGAACUCUCACACACACAUACUAUCUCACACUGAGGGUGUGACAUGUCAAGACAUGUCGGCUUUACCAUUGUGUAGGCUGAAAUACAGUAUUGUCUCUUAUCUUGACAAUAAGAAAGAGGAAUCCCCAAUCAGUGACUGAAUAGUUCAUCCAAAAAUUAGAAAAUAAUUUACUCGCA